rnacentral:rRNA from 1 species
GCCGCGGUAAUUCCAGCUCCAAUAGCGUAUAUUAACGUUGUUGCAGUUAAAAAGCUCGUAGUUGAAGUGUGGGUGGUGCCUACUUCCAGACUUCGGUUUAGGAGUGGAUCACUACCCCCUUCCAGUAUCCAGUAGUGGGUAUUCACUUACUUACUACUGUGUGUUGGUCCUUUACUGUGAGAAAAUUAGAGUGUUCAAAGCAGGCGUUUGCUUGAAUAGAUUAGCAUGGAAUAAUAAUUGAAGGCUUUCGUGUUCGAUUUGAUUGGUUUGUUCAUGGAAGCAAGGUUAAAAGGAACAGUUGGGGGUAUUCAUAUUCACUAGUUAGAGGUGAAAUUCUCGGAUUUAUGGAAGAUGAACAAGUGCGAAAGCAUUUACCAAGGAUGUUUUCAUUAAUCAAGAACGAAAG